CGCGCGCCGCCGUGCGCGACCUGCUCGCGCUCGUGGCGCAGCCGCCGCCAGCUCAACACCGACACUCACCCGAAUAUCUCAAGGUAGUUGUGGGAGCAUCGAAGCUGCAAAUUCUGUUCCGGACCAACUCAUGACACAAAGAGAACCAAAUGUGGAAAAGGAAUGAUGAAUGAAAAGAGCUCCAUAAAUGUAAAAAAAGAAUAUUUAUUUAUAAAUAUACAUGGAAUAUCAAAACUUA